AACGAACGCUGGCGGCAUGCCUAACACAUGCAAGUCGAACGAAGGCUUCGGCCUUAGUGGCGCACGGGUGCGUAACGCGUGGGAAUCUGCCCUUGGGUUCGGAAUAACUCAGAGAAAUUUGAGCUAAUACCGGAUGAUGACGUAAGUCCAAAGAUUUAUCGCCCAAGGAUGAGCCCGCGUAAGAUUAGCUAGUUGGUGGGGUAAAGGCCUACCAAGCCGACGAUCUGUAGCUGGUCUGAGAGGACGACCAGCCACACUGGGACUGAGACACGGCCCAGACUCCUACGGGAGGCAGCAGUGGGGAAUUUUGGACAAUGGACGCAAGUCUGAUCCAGCAAUGCCGCGUGCAGGACGAAGGCC
rnacentral:rRNA from 1 species